UACGGAAGGCAGCAGUGGGGAAUAUUGCACAAUGGGCGCAAGCCUGAUGCAGCCAUGCCGCGUGUAUGAAGAAGGCCUUCGGGUUGUAAAGUACUUUCAGUCGUGAGGAAGGUGUUAAGGUUAAUAACCUUAGCAAUUGACGUUAGCGACAGAAGAAGCACCGGCUAACUCCGUGCCAGCAGCCGCGGUAAUACGGAGGGUGCGAGCGUUAAUCGGAAUUACUGGGCGUAAAGGGCACGCAGGCGGUUAAUUAAGUUGGAUGUGAAAAUCCCCGGGCUUAACCUGGGAAUGGCAUUCAAGACUGGUUAGCUAGAGUCUUGUAGAGGGGGUAGGAAUUCCAUGUGUAGCGGUGAAAUGCGUAGAGAUGUGGAGGAAAUACCGGUGGCGAAAGGCGGCCCCCUGGGACAAAAGGACUGACGCUCAUGUGCGAAAAGCGUGGGGAGCAAAACAGGGAUUAGAUACC
rnacentral:rRNA from 1 species